rnacentral:misc_RNA from 1 species
CAGAGCUCAUGCCCUCCGGGGCAGAUCUCCCACCCUAUGUUGACCAUACAUUUGUUGCUUUGGCGAGCCCGCUGGGCAUAGCCCACCGCCGGCCCUAGCUGGCGAGCGCUCGCCAGAGGACCCAAAAACUCAUAUUGUUAGUGUCGUCUGAGUAUUAUGCAAUCGUUA